GUUGAAUAUUUCUUGUUUUAAAUGUUUCUUUAUUCUUAAAUAUAAUGUUUCUUAUUUCAAAUAUCCAAAGAGAUUAUAGAUUUACUAUUUUACAACUUAAUCCGAUGGCUGUCAAGAGUGUGAGAGAUAAUACAUGUAUCUAACACUUGAACUACAAAAGCAAUUAUCGCUAUUUUAUAAAGUUUAGCCGGAGGACAAUAAUCCUAUUAUUAUUACAUAACAUUGGACAAGUAUAUUUAUAUUUUAUAAGAACCUUUUCAUGUUUUAAUACCC
rnacentral:lncRNA from 1 species